rnacentral:piRNA from 1 species
UGCAUAAUUCGUGGGCAUUCAGAUC